UGAGAAGCCACAAAGGAUCCAAAAAGAUGUCACGAAGUCCACGAAGAGAAGCUUUGCCAGAGAAAGGCACACUACCAGCCGCGUGAGCUGGCCUCAUCAAAGCAAAAAAGUCAGAAAAUUAUGUAAACCAGACUCAAGAACUCAAAAAUACAGUCGUUUGAGAACAUUGCUCAUAAAUAGGAGGAAGAAUGCGGGUGACAUUCCCAAGACUGCAGCAAAUGUCGGCCAAGUGAAAAACACACAGAAUGUCCUGAAGAUCCAGCGACGUCCUGAAUGUGACGCGUUCCAGUUCACAAAAGAGGAGUCACAAAAUGUUUACAAACCUUUACCAUCCCAUUGAAAUGGACCUUCACAUUUUCCUCAAAAAUAGCUUUCUAAAACUGUUACUGGUUUACAUUAAUUUUACCUUUCUUCUUUUUUUCCCCUUUUUCUUUCUUAUUUUAGAAAUAAAGUAAUA
rnacentral:lncRNA from 1 species